rnacentral:rRNA from 1 species
UACGUAGGGGCUAGCGUUAUCCGGAAUUACUGGGCGUAAAGGGUGCGUAGGUGGUUUCUUAAGUCAGAGGUGAAAGACUACGGCUCAACCGUAGUAAGCCUUUGAAACUGGGGGACUUGAGUGCAGAAGAGAAGAGUGGAAUUCCAUGUGUAGCGGUGAAAUGCGUAGAGAUAUGGAGGAACACCAGUGGCGAAGGCGACUCUUUGGUCUGUAACUGACGCUGAGGCGCGAAAGCGUGGGGAGCGAACAGGAUUAGAUACCCUGGUAGUCCCUGAG